AUCUAUGGCCAUACCACCCUGAACAUACCUGAUCUCAUCUGAUCUUGGAAGCUAAGCAGGGUCCGGCCUGGUUGGUACUUAGAUGGGAGACACCAUAUUUA
rnacentral:rRNA from 1 species